AUCGCUUCUCAGCCUUUUGGCUAAGAUCAAGUGUAGAUUCACAACAGACAGUCCUGGGUUCUUGCCCCCUCAAGGCCUGGCUAUUCUUUAAAAAAAUUCUCUUUUAUUAUUUUUAUGUGUAUGGAUGUUAUGACUGCAUGUAUGUCUGUGUACAAUGCCUGCAGUGGUUAGAAGAGAGCAUUGGAUCCCCU